rnacentral:rRNA from 1 species
UACAGGGGGGGCAAGCGUUGUUCGGAAUUACUGGGCGUAAAGGGUUCGUAGGUGGCCAACUAAGUCAGACGUGAAAUCCCUCAGCUUAACUGGGGAACUGCGUCUGAUACUGGAUGGCUUGAGUGCAGGAGAGGAAUGCGGAAUUCCAGGUGUAGCGGUGAAAUGCGUAGAUAUCGGAAGGAACAUCAGUGGCGAAAGCGACUUCCUGGACCAAUACUGACGCUCAUGUGCGAAAGCGUGGGGAGCAAACAGG